GUGAUAUGAGGACUCCCCUAGCUGGGUUCAUCAAUCUCUUUGUAUCCAGUUGAUUGUACAAAAAUCAGGAGGCCAGAGUAAAGAGAGUCCACAGUCAUUUCUCCAAAAUACUUUUUACAGAUCUUGUGUCAGAUUUUUCCAUCUGCUUGAAGCUCCCCAUCAUGCAGGCUUUUCUGUGAUGCAGUUCAUAGAGAUCAUGAACUCAGGGCAAAAAGGAAAUAGUGAUGAAAUGGUAGAGUGGUGGAUAAACUUUGUUCUGCAUCCCUCUGGUAAAAUUUGCCAUUCAAAGACAAAAGCCUCUGCAUGGGAGAAUUGCUACUAAGCCAGGACUCUCAAAGUGUGGUUUUCUUGCAGGAUCCCAAAGGAUAUUUCAUUUUUAAUUCUAGAGAGCCAAUAGUCAUUAACUGUGUUUGUGGUUUUGGCUUCUCUGCUCAUUCCCACAUUCAGUUUCAGAUCUGAGUCUGUUUUGAAGCCUGGAAACAUGCCUCUACUAACAGAAAACCAAAGCUCUUAAAACCUUGGAAAUCUUGUAUGGGAAUUACCUGCUUUGAAGAAAUCCUUGUGAUUGUGUCAUUAACAGUCCAUGGCAGUUCAUGUAUGUGCAUGGGCCAUUUCACAGUGCUAUCUCCUCCUCUGCUCACAGUGUUCUCUACCAAGCCCAGCAUCAGGAUUGGGCAUGUUUAAUGUCUAUCUUCCAUUUUUUCCUGGAUAAAGCAAGCAGUGCAAAACCACGAUAUGCUGCAUGCAUUUAAAAGUAUCAGCACUGCACUAAAAUGUAACUCUGAUAACCAAUUUCAUAUUGUAUAUUUCUUGCUCUGAAUAGAUCCUUCUCUCAGGCAAUUUAAAAAUGAAUGGAAACAAAAUUAGCACCCAAAACUGUUGUGUUGAAUUGUAAAUGAGUCUGAGACCUGCAUUGGUUGUUGGGGCAAGUUCAAUUGCUGGAUAGCUUUCUGAUUCUUGUGCUGCCACAAGCUGUCACAUGUACAUGCUUCGUGCAGACUGUCCUGUCAAGGACUCUGUAAUCCAGCAGCAGCAUUAUAAAUUUAGGACAUCUGAGUUUUCCUCUUCUAGUCUCAGGCCACUACCUUACAAGAGCUAAUUUCCUGUCCUAAUGCAGUCUCAGAGCUUCUGGCUUCCUUUCUGAAGUCUGGUGAUCUUUUGCAAAUUGUGCAUAUGUAGUAUUGGAAAUAGCAGUGUGCUUAAAUUAGCAACAAAACAAGAAGCUUGUCAAACUCAGAGACAGUUGGUCCCUUUCCCUUGAGUUAAUACAUUAUUCAUAAUGCUGUACAGGACUGAGGGUGCCAGUGACAGGAGAAGCUAUGGAUGAAUUGAAGAUGCUGAGUGUGCAGUAGACUCAACAAGUAGGAGUUGAUCGGCUUCUGCUGCAGUUAAUAAUUCCACCAUCUUGCAUGCUAUGUCCUGCUCUUGUCAGGGUUCUGCUCUCCAAAAGAUUGCCACUUACCUUCCCUUAGCACACUGUAUGUGAUCUAGUGAAUAAUUCCUAUUGUUGUCCUAAUUGGCAUGUAUUGUUGACACGGCUGCUUAUAUCUAAAGAAUAACUGGGGUUAAAGGGCUGAUCUUACUCUUCUUGCAGCAAAGACAAAACUGCUCUGGCGACGCAGCAGGCACUCACAUCCUUAGAGAGUGAAAGGACCAAAGUGCAAGUUAUCACUGGUGGGUUUGGGUGAAGUCAUGGCAUUAACAGCCCAUGGCAUGCUUUUAGCUUUCACAAGCACCAAACUUAUCUGUGCAGAUAGGAGUUACUCCUUAACGAUGUUAUUCAUUUGCAAUGCAUGAGCAGGCUUACAACAAAAAUCUGUGAAGUGUUUAACCUCAUAUACAUGAUUGAUCUUUUGUGGCUUGGCUGUUAAUCAUGCUUGAAAGCAAGAGUGAGAGUGAAACUGAGGAAUGCAGCAAUUCAGUCACAGGCAAUAGAUCAUUCACCUCUGCAGAUGCUAACUUGCUCCUUUAUCCGUGGUCCAGGUUAGUGUCACUGUGUCACUGUAGCAACAAAAUGGCCUCUGAAAACAGCAUGAGGCAUCUCAGUCUGCUUCCUUCUGGGCUGGGGUUCACAUUAGAGAGCCCAAUACGUGUGAUGCAAAGUGGCAACUUUGCUGGCAGCAUUAACAACAGGAUCAGUGGAGGCAGAUGUUAAACCAGCUGUUUGCUCCAGGGAUUUUAGUUUCCAAAGGCAGAGUGAGUCUGAGCAUGUUUUAAUUGGACGAAAAGAAACAAGAGGAUUUCAGAGAAAAAAGUGUCUUCCUUGGCUAGCAAGGAGGCAGUGGAAUUAACAUGAGUCAAGAGGGACAAGCUGAUUACCGUGGCUGCAGCAGCACCUUCAGCUGUCUGGCCCUCUUUGGGAUUCCAACAAAGUUUCUUUUGAAAACUGGAGGACAGGUAAGCACUUCAGGCACUUGUCCCUUCUGCUUUAGAAAGAGUAUGAGGCUGCCUAAAUCCUUGAGUGUUCUUAACUUUCUCAGUGACCACAAAUGGCAAACUUAGACUAGAACUCUUGUUUUUUAAGAUGGCCAAAAUAAGGGAGACUGAUCCCACUGAAUUACAUUCUUUUCAGCCCAAGUGCUAUGUCUCAGAUCUUCUGCUGUGCUGCUUUUCAGCAUCUUGCACUGGCCAAAAUAAAUUGAAUCAAACUAAGUGUCAGAGGGAUAGAUAAGCAUAUUCCAAGAUAAGUAAAGCCAUGGUGACUGUUGCGAGCAUGGGCUAGCUACUGCAGUCCUGCAGAUCUCUCCUAGUGUCUGAGCCCUUUGCAUGUGAUUCCAGCACUGCCACAACUCUGGGAUGCCAUUAGGAGUGUGAUUUAGAAAAGGUUUUCAGCUUUGAACUCCUAGCCCAGUUAUACAAAACCUGUGUGCCAUGUUCACCUGAACUGUAUGCCAGAAUGCCUGCAUAAACCUUAUCCUGUAGUCAAGAUGGUAAUAACAUAUAAAUUCUGAAGAACAGAGAGAUAGCUGCCAGGCUAUCAUUAACACACAUUUUUUUGUGCUUUUGUAAAUUUGUAGGCCCAAAAUUAACUUUCUAUUAGCAGAAGGUCUCACGCUGAGCUACUUGUUUUCUAGGUAAAACAAGAAUUAUUAUUAUUAUUAUUGUUAUUAUUAUUAUUCCUUAGCAAUACUCUCUAAUGACUACUCUUGAAGCAAUAAAUAAAGCCAUGCUAGUCUUUUCUGUGUAGGCUUCUGUAAAGCACCUAUCACCUUAACAAAUUGCUUUUCAGCAGGACAUUAAAUAGGAGAUAACACCCUGACAUUUACUGUUUGUCCUUCCAUCCUCUUCCUCAGAGAAGAAGAAUAUGUAAUGGAAUAAUUUGAUUUUUUGAGAUGGUGUUUUUUUCUUAGUUUUCUAAAAGUAUAUGUUGCUACUCACUUAAAUAAGGAAGAGCAAAAUCAGAACUAUAGACCAAAAUUACACAAGAGUUUUGGAUGUAAACGGUAUUUUAAAGGACUGCCCACUAAGUAAGACUAGGCUCACAUCCUAGAAACAACAGUAGGGGUAAUAGAUGCAAGAUAUACCCAGGAAUGAUAAAUAGGAGUAAUAAACCAGGCAGGUAUGUACAAUGGAUGACUUCUGUUUUAUACACAACAGUAAAUAUAUGCUAAAACUGAUUAAUACCCACAGAGGGCAAAUACUGUUUAAUCUAUUUUGGCAUUUGUUUAUUAGCAGUACAUCCCUAAGGUAUUAUUUUUUCCUUCCCUAAUGAAAUUGGAAAAUACUGUUAAAUCAAUAUCAGAGUUUCUGAACUUAUUGCCAAAGAACAAGCUUAGGAAUAAAUAACCAUCAAGGAGAGAUUUUUUUAGAUGUGAGCCAUUGCACGAAGGAACAGAUUGUAUGGAAAAGAAGAAGGAGGUACUGACAGGUAUAUUUAUUUUAGAAGUUUCUAUGGCACUUCUGGUUGAUUGAAAUAAUUCUGAAACUGUACACUGAAAGCAUGGCUUCCCAGUUCAGAUUAUUUGCAUUUCCUAAAAAGAAGCAGGUAAUUUUUAAAUUCACAUUAAGGGUCAUACUUCUCAAUCCCAUUUUCUCUGCUUAAACACAACCUCUUUCUGAAAGUUGAAUCUUUGCUGAAUGAUCCUGAGGUUCUAGAUGCCUAAAUAAGUUUUGGAAAUGUGAAUUAGAAAUCCCUCCUCUAAGUCCCAUGCACUUGUCAGUGUUUAAGUGUGUAAACAUUCCUCUCUGGAAACUUCUGGUAGGUCCUGCAAGUGUAUAAAUAAGAAGCAUAUGAAGAAAGUGAAGUUUGUGUGUAGGAGAGAGCAGCUUUAGAUAGAUGUGGUGCUGAUGUUAGCUUUCAUCUAUUUGCAAGCUGGAUGAUGCAGAGAUUAUUCAUACAAAGUGUAAGAGGGUAUUGCAUGUAGUGUCAUGAACUCUGAGGGCAUAAGGUUGAAUUUUAGACUUUAUAAUCCUUAAAGUUUUAGUGGAAUUGCAUGAGAAAUGCAUUAUUUUAGAGUUUUUUAUUUUAAGUAAGAGUUGAAUCUCUACUUACAGAA
ensembl:lncRNA